GCCCGAUUACCUCAGUUGGUAGAGGAGUCCGCUCAUAACGGAUCGGUCCCGGGUUCGAAUCCCCGAUCGGGCACCA
rnacentral:tRNA from 1 species